rnacentral:rRNA from 1 species
GUGGGGAAUCUUAGACAAUGGGCGCAAGCCUGAUCCAGCAAUGCCGCGUGCAGGAAGAAGGCCUUCGGGUUGUAAACUGCUUUUGUACGGAACGAAACGGCUCUGGUUAAUACCCGGGGCUAAUGACGGUACCGUAAGAAUAAGCACCGGCUAACUACGUGCCAGCAGCCGCGGUAAUACGUAGGGUGCAAGCGUUAAUCGGAAUUACUGGGCGUAAAGCGUGCGCAGGCGGUUUUGUAAGACAGGCGUGAAAUCCCCGGGCUCAACCUGGGAAUGGCGCUUGUGACUGCAAAGCUGGAGUGCGGCAGAGAGGGAUGGAAUUCCGCGUGUAGCAGUGAAAUGCGUAGAUAUGCGGAGGAACACCGAUGGCGAAGGCAAUCCCCUGGGCAUGCACUGACGCUCAUGCACGAAAGCGUGGGGAGCAAACAGGAUUAGAAACCCUGGUAGUCC